ensembl:lncRNA
UAGAGUAAUAUUGUAUAUUUUCUACUUUUUAAUUAAUUUUGCAUUUUCCCCCUAUGUUUUCUCAUCCUUUUUAUAUUUAUAUAUUUAUGUAUAUAUUUAUAUGUACAUUCAUAAAUACUUACAUUUUUGUGUGGUUUUUUUUUUUUUUUUUUUUUUUUUUUUUUAAAAGUAAUUCAUAAUGGCAAGAUUUUUAAAAAAAUUGUUUAAUUCGUGUAUAAAGUGGGUUUUACGAAAGUUUAAAAUCUCAAGCAAAACAAAAAUAUUUAUAAUUAAUCAUUGCUUGUUUGCUUCAUUCAUUUUAUUUUAUCUUUCAUAUUAUUUUUUUAUCAAUGGAGUCGUUAAUCCGGCGGUUAGAAUUGUUUUCGAUGGAAGUAAGUAUUAAACCGAUAAAAAAAAAAAAAAAAAAAAAAAAAUAAAAUAAUAUAUAUGUACACACUUGUUAAGUAUAUGUGUUACUUUUUACUAUUGUUUUAGCUUUUACAUUUAUAUAUGCAUUUAUGCCUGCAUUUAUGUCUGCAUUUAUGUCUGCAUUUAUGUCUGCAUUUAUGUCUGCAUUUAUGUCUGCAUUUGUUUAUGUGUUUAUACUUAUGUUGUAUAUCAGAAUAGUUACAAAAACGUUUUUUUUUUAAACGUAAACAUUUUUAAAAAAAUGUGUACAUUCAUACGUGUGACAUGUUUUUUUUUUUUUUUUUUUUUUUUUUUUCUCUCACUUGUAGACAUUAUCGCAGAUCAAACACUUACUUAUGAGAAUUCCAUAAUAGAGUCAAUAUGGCUAUUAUUCGAAAGUGGAAGUUAUUUUAAUAUGAUAUUGUUACUGUUUUUUUCAAUUAUAAUUCCUAUAUUUAAGUUUAUUGUAGUUAGUGAUAAUUUUUAUACCUUUUUUAAAUUACAUAAUUUAAGUUUAAAACGUUAUAAAGUAAAAAAGAAAAAAAAUCAUUAUGAUCAUAAUAGUGAAUUAUUUUAUAUUAAUACAGUAAAUGACAAUGAUAAAUAUAUGUUAAAAAAGUUUAACUUAUUAUGUUCUAUAUCAAGAUUUCAGUUUGUUGAUGUGAUGAUAUCUUUAUUUAUUGCCUCAUCGUUAAAUGUUUAUUUAUUAGAAACAAAAUUAUUAAAUGGUACAUAUUAUUUUUUAAAUUAUUGUGUACUAUCUACUAUAUCUUCCUUAUUUUUAUCAAUUUUAACAUCAAUAAAAAUUGAAAUAUUUAAAAAAUCAAAUAUAAAAAUAUAUUCUGUUUCUUCUGGAAAAUGCUUCAAUAAUGGCUACAACUUGAGUAACAGUUUUGGAAAGAGUAUUACUACUAAUUUUAAUGGUUAUGUACAAAAAAAUUUCAAUGAUAGUGACGUAGAUAGUUAUAACGAAAUACACAAUGAUGUAGAACAAAUUUAUCAAAGUAAUAUGUAUGAUAAUAAAGAUAUAAGUUAUAAAGAGUCAGUACAAACUUCGAAAUUAAAAAAAAAAGGACAUUCAAAGGAGAGUAAUAUACAAGGUGAUGGUACGACAGCUAGUAAUGACAGUGUUGUUAAUAGUAAUUAUGACAAUACGACUAAUACGAACGAAUAUAAUAUGUUAUCUACACAAAAAAUAAAUAAAAUUACAGGAGAAAUAACAAAAGAUGAUAAUAAUAAUAAUAAUAAAAAAUUGUUACUUUAUAAUAAAUUAGAAGCAUUACAUAAUAUAAGUUAUUUAUAUAAGUUAAUGAAAAAAAAUGAUGCAUAUAUUUAUAUAAAAAAAAAGAAAUUUAAUUUUUUAUUGAAAAAGAAUGGACAAAUGAAUAAAUUAAAUAUUUUUAAACUAGGUUAUAUAAUAUUUGUUUUUCUAAUUUUAUGUUUAUGUACUUAUUUAAUAAUAAAAGUUGAGAAUGAUAUGUUUGGGAUAUAUAUAUAUUUAAGCUAUUUUAAUUUUAAUAUUGAAGGUGUUUUAGUUGACUACAAUGACAUGUUAAAUAUAUUAAAAUUUAAAAUAGGUCAAUUAUAUAUUUAUACUUUUUUUAUUAUUCUACCAUUUUUAUUUCCAAUUAUUACUGUUAUUUUUUUAUUUUUAAGUAUAUUUUUUAUGAAUUUAUAUUAUAUAAACUUUUCUAUGAAAUAUAAAAAAAAUAAUAAUUUAUUUAGUGAUG